AUUGAACGCUGGCGGCAUGCUUUACACAUGCAAGUCGAACGGCAGCGGGGUAGUGCUUGCACUACUGCCGGCGAGUGGCGAACGGGUGAGUAAUAUAUCGGAACGUACCGAGUAAUGGGGGAUAACCAAUCGAAAGAUUGGCUAAUACCGCAUACGUCCUGAGGGAGAAAGCGGGGGAUCGCAAGACCUCGCGUUAUUCAAGCGGCCGAUAACUGAUUAGCUAGUUGGUGGGGUAAAGGCCUACCAAGGCGACGAUCAGUAGCGGGUCUGAGAGGACGAUCCGCCACACUGGGACUGAGACACGGCCCAGACUCCUACGGGAGGCAGCAGUGGGGAAUUUUGGACAAUGGGGGCAACCCUGAUCCAGCCAUGCCGCGUGUAUGAAGAAGGCCUUCGGGUUGUAAAGUACUUUUGUUAGGGAAGAAAAGGGAAGUGCUAAUACCACUUUUUGCUGACGGUACCUAAAGAAUAAGCACCGGCUAACUACGUG
rnacentral:rRNA from 1 species